GACGAACGCUGGCGGCGUGCUUAACACAUGCAAGUCGAACGGUAAGGCCCUUCGGGGUACACGAGUGGCGAACGGGUGAGUAACACGUGGGUGAUCUGCCCUGCACUUCGGGAUAAGCCUGGGAAACUGGGUCUAAUACCGGACAGGACCACUGCCUGCAUGGGUGGUGGUGGAAAGCUUUUGCGGUGUGGGAUGGGCCCGCGGCCUAUCAGCUUGUUGGUGGGGUGAUGGCCUACCAAGGCGACGACGGGUAGCCGGCCUGAGAGGGUGACCGGCCAGACUGGGGUGGAGAUACGGCCCAGACUCCUACGGGAGGCAGCAGGGGGGAAUAUUGCACAAUGGGCGCAAGCCUGAUGCAGCGACGCCGCGUGAGGGAUGACGGCCUUCGGGUUGUAAACCUCUUUCAGCACCGACGAAGCGCAAGUGACGGUAGGUGCAGAAGAAGGACCGGCCAACUACGUGCCAGCCGCCGCAGUAA
rnacentral:rRNA from 1 species